CGGGCGAUGAGCGACAGUUUGUUUCUUGCUUUUGGAAAGGAAGGUUGGUAGCACCGGUUGAAAAACGUAAUCAAAGCUAAAUACUCGGGACGGAACAAAAACAAAAAGCAGUGCUCGCUCGCGGUGGUAAAAAUUUGUUGUAGUAAGCAAAUAGCAAAGCAGAAGCGCACAAAGUGUGAAACGAAGAGAGAAGUAGAAGGAAGAAAGAAGAGGCGGCAGCACCACUUCACAACAACAAUACACAUUGCUUUUGGGGAUUUGUUGGUGCUCCCGCAGUGGCGCUACUAGCUGGCUGUGCUCUCAUCUGCUGUGCGUUGCACAGUGUGUGUAUGUGUAUAUUUGGUUCAUGCAUGCAAUACAUUUGUUGUUGGAUUGAAUUAUUCGUUCCAUCGCACCACACGCCUUGUGCACAAAUCAAAUACCACUAGAACGCCUCUUUAGGAAACUGAUGGUUGGAGAAGCUUUAUUAAGCAUAGCGUAUGGAGUGUAGCUGGCAAGCAGAAGAAGGUGCCGCACAGCAUUCUAGUGAAUUGGGAUUUCUCCCACUCAAAGGGAUAUAUAAAGUAGCAUAAAGUAUAGUAUUUGUGAAAACGUCCAACGAGUAUAUUCUCAAUUUGCGACAAUUGGAGCAAACGGAUAGCAAGAAGGCAAUGACAGUCACUGCGAUUGUGACGACGAAGUCAAAACUGCAUUGGCAAAUACAACUGGUGAACAUUGAUUUAUGCAUUUAGACGUUAUUCACAAAAAGUAAAAUUUGAAACUAAAGAAACAAACGAGCUCAAGUUAACGUAGAGUUAGUUGAGCAACAAAACGAUAAACAUAUUCACUAUUUGAAUUUCAAACAAAGAGCAAGCAGCGCCAACAUCAUCUUUACUUUACCUCCAACGCUCCCUUUAUAUUUGACGCCGCGGAUGUGGGCCCGUCUUCUACAUGCCGAUAUUCCAUGUUUAGCCAUUACUCAGGUAGAGAGUUGUACGUGUUGUGCUCUGAAUGAAAGAAAGUUUCCUGCAUUGCAAUGAAAUGGUCGAGUCUCUCUGCUAGUUGUGGCAAGCUCUACAUUCUACAUACUUUCGACGUUCUACGUUGGCUCCAAUAGAAAAUAUUGGAUAAUAUACUGCGAUAAUUUUUUCCUGAUAUCGAUGCAGAUGUAGUAAUUCAACAAGUGCAUUAUUUUUUCAAAAGCAAAAAAAAACCGUAUUUAGAAUAUACCAAAAAUCACUGAACAACUAAAGAGAAAGCUAAUAAAAAA